UAAUUAGUUUAAAGUAAGUGCCAUUCUGUGAUAAGUCAAUACUAAUGAAGUGUGACCAUAUGUUAAUGUCUUAACCAAAGAAUGGGGUGUGUUAACUAAAGAAAGGGGGAAGGUAAUCUCUAGGCAGUAGACUGGUACACCUCUUGGAGAGAGGAUGUAAAGCAUGUUAUGGUAUGUGGCCUGAGGAGCCAGAAAUAGCAAAUGGAGUGGAGGCUUGGUGUUAUAACAGAAACUGGGAAUUUAAUUCCCGACUGACUGGGGACCAGGAUAUAGGCAAUGGUCGUGCAAUGUAUAGUGAAGCAACCAAAGUGGUUUAUUGAGAUGGUACUGGCGUUACAUAAUAUAAAGUGCUCAGGAACUGAUAUAUUUGAUUUCAACUUGUAAAGGCAAGCCUAAGCUGAGCUGAUUUGAUUUCGCAUAUACAAUUGGACGCUGUCUCGUACUGUUCUCUUCAUUAUCUCUUUUAUUUUA